CCCUUAGCCUUUCUUCACCAUUCAAUUCUAUCACAUGAUCAAGUUUUAAGAAUAUGGCGAGUGGCGACUGAUAUUAAGUAGUUGACUAGGGUACCACUGAGGUUUCAAAUCUCAAUCUUUACGGUUACAUCGUUGAUGCUCGUUCCAGUUCGAAACUUAGAUGCUUCGAUGCUAAGGAAGUUCAUUCUCUGUUUGGAAAAGCGACAUACUAUGGACCACAAAACGUGCUUGGAUUAUAACGUUGUUUGAUAACAAUUCAUGGUUCUCAUCUUUCUACUUCGUCGGCUAAUGGCUUCAGAAGAAGCUUCACAGAACACUAAUAGUCGAUUGAAGCUAGAAGUAAAGGUCAUGGACAUAGCGAACAACGUUGAUUCUUCCAAUAGAAGGCUUCCAUUCUUGCACCAAAUUCUUUAGCUGAAGGAACUGAUACAAGGAAGAGUUCUCGAAGAAAUGGGCAUGGAACCUGAAGAUAAGUGGAGAAAGUUUUUAACUUAACCAAAAGAGGAGAAGAAAGCUAAUGAAGAGGCUCCAACAGGUUACAUUCAUAUUAGAGCAAGAAGAAGGGGUCAAAAGCAACAGACAGCCAUUGUCUCGCUGAAAGGGUGAGGAAAGAGAAAAUAAGUGAAAGGAUGAAGAUACUGCAAUCUCUUGUUCCUGGUUGUGACAAGGUGAAUAACAAGGCUCUUGAGAGUGAAAUUUGCUCUAGGAGGAAAGAGAAAACAGUACUGCUACACCAGGUUUCAUGCCGUCUCUUCGACAACUUUCAUGUGCUGCCUCCAAACUCUCCCUGUCAAACAGCAAAUGGAGUCUAAAAAGACAAAUCUAUGUGAAGAAUCUGGGUUUCCAUCUCCAAGCAGCCGGAAUUUGAGCAUCUACUCUGCCUUUUUUUAUUUCUAAUGGACGCUAAUUUGGAAUUGUUAAAGCAACAAAAUAUUUGUUCAAGGAUGCUAACAGAAAUGCUCCUUGAAAAUGAGGUAACUCCCUCCUUUGCUGGAACUGCCUUGAAAAGAAAAAGUCCGAUCAGCACCAUGACAAGAAGAAGAUGGUAAAUUCUAUUGUGGAUGUUGUUAUAUAGUGCUCUACCCUUCUCAUGACAAGAAAAAAGACUCAUAUUUAUGUUGCUAGAUUAAAUAAUGAGAUCCUUCUGAAUGUUACAUAGCUAUGGCUCUUUGGAUCAACAUUUAUUUGAAUCUAGGACAAGCUAUUAUUACAAAUACAAGGUCGGAUAACUCAUUAUAUGAAUUGGUGUUUUUAGAACAUACCAUGCAGCACAACAAGAUUAUAGCAAAGUGUCAACUGGAUUAUUCAGCUAAUGUCAAAGUCAUGGAUAGAACAAAAAGGGGGCUUGUUAAAAGCCUGAAACUCAAUUCAGGAGCUCGGGGUAUGUACUUUUGUGGAAUUUAUAACUAGAUACGACACAACACUUAUAUCGGGCCUUGUAGUUUUAAAAUUGAAGGUUCUCUCAUUAGGAAGUGCCACAAAAUAAAAUGCUAUACAGAAUAUACCGACAUAGAGGAAGCAUCAUAAAUAACAUCCCAUAAAAUGCAAAGUUUAUUGUACAUGGAAAGAAAGAAAAUAUCCACUAAAAUUAUUGAGUGAUUUAUUGAAACCCAUAAUCCUCAUCUUCUUUGCUAACAUCUUCCAUGAUGACAACACUGUAGGUUCCACAACUUCGACUUUAUUCUUUUUGAUAAAUAAACUAAAUAUUUUUAUUUUAUGUGGUAACUGUGUCAAAUAUAUUUCUCGCAGGUUGAAGAGAGCCAGAAUCAACUUUUACUUUGAUAUUUUGUCCCAACAAAUUCUAUUUUGCGUUAUGGGUUAUAAAUUGCUGUUGUUUGGAUUAGAAUAGUGAAUGUGAUGUUAUAUUUUGUUCUUCCUUGUGUAGCUCAACAAUUCGGGACAAAAUAACUCCUCAUGUAUGGUUUACUGGUGAGACUGCUGAAGGGGAUUCAGUCUGAAAAUAUAAAAGAUGUUAUUGAAGAAGAUGAUGAUUAAGAAGAUGAAGAAGACGAGGAUGAAGAGGAGAUGAAGGAACAGAAGGUGAAAUUUAUUUUUCAUGCUUUUACAAAGUGAUUCAAUUUUUUCAUGUUAAUCUGUGCUGCGAUAUUCUAGUGAAUGAGGGUUCUUAGAUUUUUACAAAUUAAAGUUGAUGUCUGUCCUUUCUCAGCUACUACAUUUCUACUAUAUAGAUGCAUGAAAAAAGAUUCUUUGUUCGACGUGUGUGCUUUUAGGUCAUUCUAUAUUUAUCGAUCGCAAUUUAGUCAAUUUACAUAUUAGCUGAUGUAUACAUUUCUUGGUGGCUUUCGUGCCUACAGCUAGCACAUAGCCACCGCAAAGCUUCCUCCAUUCUACUUUUCCGGUUCCAUUCCAUUCCUUUUCGAGAUAAUUUCUGUCUUUUCAGAUUACUCUUUCAAUUUUCAGGUAAGCUACUCCUCCUAUUCUUAGCCAAAUCUUCUUUUUUACUUCAAUUUACAUGUAUGUAUGAUGUUCUGUCAUCUGAAUUUUUUAGAGUUUUUCUUUCUUUGAUUUUUUCAAUCUGAUCUUAGUAUCUGGGAUAAGAAAGUAGACAUAUCUCUCACUGGAAAAAUGGUGGAAUUCCUGACUUUUUUCUUUUUGGUUUCCUCCUAUACAUUGGAUGCUCAAUACAUUGUAUAUAGGCACGUUUUUUCUCAGAUUAUGUGCAAUAUUUUGCUGCAUACUCGAAAUUUCACUUUCAUUCCCAUCUAUCUAUUGUAGGAUAAAUUGAACCAGCAAAGAAUUUAGUAGCUGACUCUCCUUUUUCCGCUCCAUUUGUAAGUUCUACAUGAAAUGGCUAUUUACUUUUAUAUUGAAUUAAUUUUAAAGGCAAGAGACUUAAAGUUGUGAUUUUGAUGAAUAGGUAAAAUCGUAUUUGUCUAUUGAGGUAGCAGAUACUUCGGCUUGAUUCAAUGGUGUAUCAAUAUUAUUCUUGCUUAAAUUUUCUAAAAGCGACUUAGUGUCCACUGGUUAGCCUUUUUCACUACGAAUGGGUUUGCUGAAGUUUCCUUGGUUGAAUGCGAUAAUGGAUAACAUAUCGUUAAACCAACUUUAAUAUAAGUAAUAAUUUACUUGCAAAUGAUUUUAUUAUGUCCGAUUUGAACCCUGAAGAUCAAUUCUAUUCUUUUCAGGUGGUUUUGAUAGAACUACAUGUAUGUAUGUAUGUCAUAUUAUCUUUGUCCAUGUUGAUGUACUUAUUUGUUCAUAAAUUUUAGGUUGUCUAUCCUUGAUGUUUUAUUAUGCACUUAAUAUUAGGAGUGACUUAACGCUGAAGUGGUCGGGCAACCCAAACAUCGUGUUAGGUAUUGGAAACAAGCUACAGACUUUCGCUUAAUUCUCAAGUUUAUGUAUCGCAAUGUGUCUCUUCUUAGCUGCUCUGUGUAUUCUGAACAUUAAUGGUAACUCAUGUUCUCUCCUAAAUGAGCUAAAACAACAGAAAUCAGCAGAAUUACUUUUUUGGUGAUUGGAUCUAUGAAGAUAUAUGGAUAAAAAAGCUGUAGAGCAACUGAAAACAUAUAAUACUAAUGGUUCUACAAAUGAGAUUCAAGUGUGUAAGAGAAACAAAGGACCAACCUAAACUUUCUAAAUGGUCCAAGAAGAUCAAGUUUAUACGAUGUCCCAUCUCUUCAAGAUACAUAAUGUUGGUAUAUGAUUUACGUGGUAAAAACUGAUUUGAGAUUAAUCUAUAUCAGGUGGGAUCUGCAGGGGCUUUGGAUGACGUUUUGCAUUUGAAAAUGUUUCAUUAUAAGCUAUUCUAGAUCUUAAAUCUCUUUCUAUUAUAAUUUUCUUAAUUAUGCCGAGAUUUCAUGAUAUUUUGAUACAAGAAUAUGUGCUUGAUAUAUAUGUUUAGGCAUUUAUGCACUAUAAAUAUGACAACCCUUUGGCCUGUUCAUGGAAGUACAUAUAUAGAUCUUAGACUCAAGUCAACUCUUGAAUAUUUAAGACCUUCAUGUACCAUACAAUCUGUGUAGCUAUACAGUAGUUCCAUAGCACAAGUCCCAGUUUGUAAUAAGGUCUAUGAAAGGCGACUAUCUCAAAUUCUUUUCAUGGAGUAAUUCCAAAUCACGAUUCAAUGACAUCAAAGUUUGAAGAAUUCUCACGUUUGCAAGCUGCUUGUGCUGCUCUAAAGGGAUAAUGUGUUUUAUUAUAGACCUUUAUGUUUUCCUUGGUAGCCUAUACUUCUUUAAGAUGAGUAUUGUUAUUUUUAUUCCGUCAUGCAAUAGAGUCGAGCGCUUUGAUCUUGAUUAGAAUAUAUCCUCCGGUUUGGCUGACCUGGGAAUCAGAAUCCUUGAGCAAGACCAAGGACUGUGUUUUGUAAAAUAAUGUGCAAAAAGACUGAUCUGCAUAUAUAUAACACACAGAAAUUUGUAUAUGUUUGA